rnacentral:rRNA from 1 species
ACUGCUCAGUAACACGUCGAUAAUCUGCCCUUAAGUCUGGAAUAACCUUGGUAAACUGAGGCUAAAACCGGAUAAGAAAACAAAUCUGGAAGGAUUGUUUUUUCAAAGGCAACGCUUAAGGAUGAGUCGGCGGCAGAUUAGGCUGUUGGUGAGGUAAUGGCUCACCAAACCUAAGAUCUGUAGGGGUCUUGAGAGAGAGAGCCCCGAGAAGGGCACUGAGAUACUGGCCCUAGCCCUACGGGGUGCAGCAGCCGCGAAACCUUUACAAUGCACGCAAGUGUGAUAAGGGAACCCAAAGUGCUUAGCUUUGCUAGGCUUUUGCUGAGAGUAAAUAUCUCGGAGAAUAAGUGGUGGGAAAGACUGGUGCCAGCCGCCGCGGUAACACCAGCGCCACGAGUGGGGAUCAUCUUUAUUUGGCCUAAAGCGUCCGUAGCUGGUUUAGUAAAUCUCUUGUGAAAUUGUUUCGCUCAACGAAACAGCGUGCAGGAGAGACUGCUAGACUAGGGACCGGGAGGAGUCAGAGGUAUGCUGGGGGGAGCGGUAAAAUGCUAUAAUCCUCGGUAGACCACCUGUGGCGAAGGCGUCUGACUAGAACGGGUCCGACAGUGAGGGACGAAAGCCAGGGGAGCAAACCGGAUUAGAUACCCGAGUAGUCCUGGCUGUAAACUCUGCGAGCUAGGUGUUGCGUAUUCUUCGUGAAUACGCAGUGUCGAAGAGAAGUCGUUAAGCUCGCCGCCUGGGAAGUAUGGUCGCAAGACUGAAACUUAAAGGAAUUGGCGGGGGAG